CCCUCCAAAUCAGCUCACCACUAAACCCAAGUCCUUAAAACCACCUUCUUUCUGCAGUAAAUACUCAGGAAACAAGACUUGGCGCCAGUGUCCAGAAAACCCUGCAGUCCAGUGGUUGAUUCGAGGGUCUGUGUUUUGCAAAUCCACUGGGCUUCGAAGCUGGGACUCAAUGGAGUCUGGCUCAUUUGGAAAUGUAUUUAUAAAAGGCCCAGGCCCAGGAGCAGAGCAUAUCCUUAGAAUCCGCAGUCUCCAGGUGGCAUCCAGCCCCCAAGUGUUUCUUUUAAAAACAGUUUUAGUUUUCUUAAAAUAAUAAUAACAACCUAUUUUCUGCUUGUUCUUCAUCCAUGGGGUUCUUGUUAGUGGUUUGGGAUAUGCUUGGGUGUCCAAAACAGCUAUAGUCCCCAAAGCAGGCGCCUCUUCUUACUUCUGGAAAGGAUCCUUUCUUCUUUUAUGCCGUUGGAAGAAAGUUUUGGAGCUCAGGGAACUGGAAGAAGGGCUCCUUUCUGUUUACUAAAACUUUCAUGCAACGGCUUUGAAAAGUAUGAAGAGGUCUUCCCUUCUCCUGCUUCCUCCAUCCAAUUGCAGCACUGUGAUGGGGAGUACCCCCUCUCACUUCUCUGCUGAUGGGCAGAAGUGUGGGAAUCUGAAAAGAUGCGAGUGAGCACGGGCACCUGCCUGUCCAAACGUGUGGGCAUUGAGUGUCUGGUCUGCAUGUGCGUCCAGAAGAACACAAGCAGAGUCCUGCUGAAUCAGUCCAAAGUUAUGCACCGGGUACCUGCAGGUUUCAGCACCACGGAGAGCUCCCAGUGAGCCACAUGCUCCAACCAAGGCUGGAGGUCAGCUGAGGCCCUUAUGAGACCCUUCUUCCUAAGGUCCAUUAAAUAUUAGGGAUUUUAACAACUACAUAACGUUCUAGCCUUCAGGCAGUCACUUAUUCGAUUGACUGUGGCCUCCCACUUGCCAUGCUGCCUGAGCUAUUGGCCAGGUGUGGAACAGGUAACACUGGCUCAGGCUCUGUUUCCUCCUCCUCUGAGCUCAAGGCCAUGAUACCUGAGAUCCUAGGAGCCACUGCCAGUCAGAGUAGACCAUGCUUGGCUAGUUGAAUAAAUAGUAUGACAUUGUGUAAGGUGGUUUCCUAUUUUUCCAUGUUGAAUCGUGCUCUGUGGCCAAGACUGAGGCCACACCUUACAGUUUAAAGGACUGCUAUACCACUUUUACAGUCAUGGCUUCCCCCCAAAGAAACCUGGGAACUGUAGCUAGAUAGACUUAUGCUAAGCUAGACAGGCCAAGGAUCUGACUCUAUCUAAGACAGUUUCCACCCUCUCCACAUUACUGCCCUCGUUCCUCAGCUGUACAGUCUUGUCUUGGUAUCCUCCUUUCCAUCUGGAAGAUCCAUUGUCAGACAAAUGACCCGUGUCCAUAGCAAAACAAAAGGGCUUGUGUUUGGGGAUUGGAGAACCCUAAAGGCAGCCCUCCAACUGGCCUGGAGAUGACCCAACACCACUGACACCCAAAAUGCUUUGGAUUUGUACAGGGAGGUUAUCCAAGAUCCCUCGGCACACGUUUAUUUGUUUUUAAAGCCGUAUCCUGGUUGAAUUCCCACUCAAAGCAUUGAAUUUCUGCCUUUCAGAAUUGUCCAGUUGGACACGACCACAUUUUUAAUAAUCGCCUGCUUUCCCCCCCCCCUUCCUUCCCUCCCUCCUUGUUCUUGCUGUCUUGAAUUGCUGCCUUCAGUCAGCCAGGGAAUAUUGCUGUGCUCAGUUAAACAGUGGCUGCUCUUUGCUCUGAAAAUCUUUGCUCAACAUAUUCCUUUAAUUUUUGUGGGAGUUACUGUUCCGUUGUUGAUUAUUUAUUUACUUACUUAUAUCCUGCCCAUCUGGCUGGGUUUCCCCAGCCAUUCUGGGAGGCCACCAACAGAAUAUUAAAAACACGAUAAAACAUCAAACAUUAAAAACUUCCCUGAACAGGGCUGCCUUCAGAUGUCUUCUAAAAGUCAGAUAGCUGUUUAUUUCCUUGACAUCUGAUGGGAGGGCGUUCCACAGGGCAGAAGCCACUACCGAGAACGCCCUCUGCCCGGUUCCCUGCAACCUCACUUCUCGCAGUGAGGGAACCGCCAGAAGGCCCUCUGCUCUUGGACCUCAGUGUCUGGGCUGAACGAUGGGGGUGGAGACGCUCCUUCAGGUAUACUGGGCCGAGGCCUUUUAGAGCUUUAAAGCUCAGCACCAACACUUUGAAUUGUGCUCGGAAACAUACUGAGAGCCAGUGUAGUUCUCACAGGACCGGUGUUAUGUGGUCUUGGUGGCCAUUCCCAGUCACCAAACUGGCUGCCACAUUAUGGAUUAGUUGUAGUUUCCAGGUCCCCUUCAAGGUAGCCCCACAUAGAGUGCAUUGCAGUAGUCCAAGCAGGAGAUAACUAGAGCAUGCACCACUCUGGCGAGACAGUCCGCGGGCAGGUAGGGUCUCAGUCUGCAUCCCAGAUGGAUCACCUAUGGCUGACUCCGGCCAUGACAGACAGGGGCUGUAGCUCAGCGCGAGAGCAUAUGCUUUGCAUGCAGAAGGUCACCGGAUCAGUCUCCACUGGCAUCUCCAGGUAGGGCUUGGAAUGUUCCCAGUCUGAAACCCCGGAGAGCCUCUGCCAGUCAGUGUGGACAAGACUGAGCUCAAUGGGCCAAAGGUCUGACUCCAUUUAAGGCAGUUUCCUAUGGUCAUAUAAGGGAGCAGAGACUUUCCUUGCAGGAGCCAACGGCAUUAUGGCAUCUCUCUCUGUGUGCGCCUGUGUGUGGGUGUGUGAAAACAUAUAAAAUAUAGCUCACACUUCCCACACAUAAAGGAGUGUAAUGUUCAUAUGGACCUCUUCCAAAUGGCUUUAAAAGGCCCCUGGGGCGUCUAUAAUAUUGUACGCUGUUUGAGCUUCCACGUUUGGAAGGUCCCACCGCUGCUGCCUUUUAAAACUGAUCCAUUUGGCCGAAAGCGCUUUCUCAGAAGGUGUGCAUCCUUCUACUUGCCCACCGGCCUCCCCAGCAAUAAUGCGUUCCCAUUUCGUCCAUUCACACUCGCUCUCUCUGGACUGGCAGAGGAAGAAGAAAAGACACUUUCCCUUUCAAGUUGGAGCAGGGAUCAGCAAACCAGAGGUGUCGGGAAGGCGAUGUCGCCAGGACAAGCCUCUCUUUCCCCCUCCUUCCCACUUUCCCCUCCUCUGUGAACAUUAGUGGAUUAACUGGAGCUAUUAAUGGAUUUAUGUACUCAAGAAUGGACUUCAGGCUAUGAAUUGGAUUCUCUUAGCUGCAUCUGGGGUGUGGGUUGCGCAACAGAAGUCUAUCAAUGCCUAUUAGUCGUAGUCCAAUGGAACCUCCAGACCCAGGGGUAGUCUACCACCAUAUCAACUGCUGGAGGAUUCUCCUACUCCCCAGCCUCCUUUCCCUGUCCCUGGAUUCCCAAGCAUGUUGCUCCAUCUUAGAGAAAAGGAUCCAGAGGAAGUGACUGCCUGGGAGAAGCAGUGAGUGCGGAAAGGGUUAAGCCAGCGACACGGGUGGUGCUGUUGUCUAAACCACAGAGCCUCUUGGGCUUGCCAAUCAGAAGGUCGGUGGUUCAAAUCCCUGUGAUGGAGUGAGCUCCCAUUGCUCUGUCCUAGCUCCUGCCAACCUAGCAGUUCGAAAGCAUGCCAGUGCAAGUAGAUAAAUAGGUACUGCUCUGGCAGGAAGGUAAAUGGCAUUUCCCUGCACUCUGGCUUCUGUCGGUGUCCCGUUGCACCAGAAGCGGUUUAGUCCUGCUGGACACAUGACCUGGAAAGCUGUCUGUGGAUAAACGGCAGCUCCCUUGGCCUGAAAGCGAGAUGAGUGCCACAACCCCAUAGUCGCCUUUGACUGGACUUAACCAUCCAGGGGUCCUUUACCUUUCACCUUUUUUACCUAAGCCAGGGGUGGGGAACUUUUCUUAGUAUGAAAGCCACGUUGCCUUCUGGGGGCCACGUGCCGGUGGCGAAAGUGAGCAGAGCCAUGAAUGUAAUUUUUACCUCUGUACAAUAAGAUUGAUCUCUCUGCCCUCCAGCCAGAUAAGCAAACAGCACUAAACAAACCAGGCAAACAUACUUAGGGAGGAGUCAAAGCAGAGGCAUGAGAGGGUGUGGCUUGGGGAGAGUCUUGAGGGCCAGACAGAGAGGAUUGAAGGGCCACAUUGAGCCUGAGUUUCCCCGUCUCUGUCCUUAUGAUAGGGAAGCACUGCCAUAUUUAUUGGAACUUGGAGCUGUGUGCCCAGAACUAUGCGUGCAAUGUUUUAUGACUACAAUUGUCCGCAAUUCCUGCUUGUAUGAAACCUACAAGUACAAAGGGAAGCAACAAAAAAGAAGCUCAUAAACUGCCCACCAGUUCACACAUAAGACUUUUGAGCCAGCCGCCAUGCGUUCAGAAGCCUCUGGGUGACUGUGGUGGCAUUAGAAUGGGGAGUUACAGGCACCCACACAGAGCCCCCUCACUCGCUCGUUCAAACCAGCAGAUCAAUUCCUUUAAUGUCAUGCAAAACUAAACACUGCAAACAGGAGGUGUGAUGCUGAAAGGGUGGGCCACCUGUAGCUCUAAAUUCUGACAGUAGUUGCUACAGUCACCUGGAGGCUUCUUCCUCUUCUUCUUUCACUCGUAGCCGAGUAAUAUUGUCUUCCAUGAACACUCUUUUAACAAUGAGUCUGCAAGUGACUGUGGAGGCCAGUUCUAGAUCCACACGUCCUUCCACAGUGGGGACAUUGGUUUCCAGGCGGGAGUUGAUCAUGGUGUGGAUUUGCCAAGCGUGCCUUCUUCUUAGCAUGUUUCUCCCUUGUGUCCUGAGUUCGAGCAUCUUCAAAGCCCACAACACCUUUGGUAAAGGCUGUUCUGCAAUUGGAGCACUCGCAAGCCAGUGUUUCCCAUUUGUCGGUGUUUAUACUACAUUUUUAAAGAUUUGCCUUGAGACAGUCUUUAAACCUCUUCUGUUGAACACUAGCAUUACGGUUUCCAUUUUUAAGUUCGGAAUAGAGUAGUUGCUUUGGAAGACGAUCAUCAGGCAUCCGCCCAACAUGACCAGUCCAGCGAAGUUGAUGUUGAAGAAUCAUUGCUUCAACACAGGUGAUCUUUGCUUCUUCCAGUACACUGGUAUUAGUUCACCUGUCUUCUGAUUUGAAAACUUCUCUGAAUUUCUCCAUGACUUCCCCUUUUAUAACCAGGAAACCCCUGGAGGCUGGAAGUUGAUUGCCCAAACUGAAAUCUCUACGUAACACAUAUCCAAGAGAAUGGUUGCUGUAGCUCAGCGGUGGAAAAUCUGCUUUGUACACAGGAGGUGCCCAGUUCAGUCCUCAGAUGGGGCUUGGGGUGUCCUCUGCCUGAAAUCCUGGAAAGCUGCUGCCAGCCUGUGUGGGCAAUACUGAGCCAGAUGGACCAAUGGUCUAAGGCAGCUUGCUUGCAUGCAUCAUAUAACUAGAUGUUUUGUAAUAUUGCAGGUAGCCAGUGGUAGUUGAUUCUAUCCUUACUUCUGUCCCUUUCUUAAAAGCCCCUUUAAAAAAGAAACAAAAAUGUUUGGAGCCAUAAAAGAUAGCUUUGUUUUCGCCAGAACCAUGUUAUGAGUUCCAUAUCUGGGAUGGAUUUUCCAGGAAUGCAUAAUGCAGACCUUAUUGUCCUGAGCAGCUCGGAUGCUUAACAUGCGCAGGAAGAGCUGAUAAGCUAUCUGUCCAAUGCUUUUACUAGCAGAUUCAAGCUUCCCUCACUCACUCAUGGAAAUAGGAACCCACAUCUCCAAUCUCUGGUGUGCCCGGCUGUUUGCGGUUUGCAGAAUGAGUGGCUUUAUACUUCCGGAAGCGAUGCUCAACAAAUAAGUGCCCGUGGUCUGUACCGUUUAGUGAGCAUAAAGGGGGCUUCCAGACUAUCGCUGUUUUUGGGUGGGAUUCCAUCACAUCCGGAUAAAUCGCCCUGUUGUAUUUUAUAGGGUGGUCUUGUGCAACAAACCUUCCCCCCCCCAAAAAAAGUGCGCUGGAAAUGAAUUGGGGAGUGUGGGAUAGCACUUAUUUUGAUGCAACAUCAUCUAGUGUCCCUGCAAACACAUCAGAACAAAUAGACA